rnacentral:miRNA from 1 species
UAGCAGACACAUUCCUGCCAAUCAGCAGCAGACCCUCCCUCCCAGACCCCCCCCACCUCCUGGACAUCAUCCAUUUUACAUUCAUUGUGAAUCUGCAUUCUUAGUGAGCUGUCCAGGAGGUGGGAGGGUCUGGGAGGGAGGGUCUGCUGCUGAUUGGCUGGAAUGUGUCUGCU